CCUACGGGAGGCAGCAGUGGGGAAUCUUGCGCAAUGGGCGAAAGCCUGACGCAGCAACGCCGCGUGCGGGAAGAAGGCUUUCGGGCUGUAAACCGCUUUCAGCAGGAACGAAAAUGGCGGUACCUGCAGAAGAAGGAGCGGCCAACUAUGUGCCAGCAGCCGCGGUGAUACAUAGGCUUCAAGCGUUGUCCGGAUUUAUUGGGCGUAAAGAGUUCGUAGGCGGUCGAGUAAGUCGGGUGUGAAAAUUCUGGGCUCAACCCAGAGACGCCACCCGAUACUGCUUGACUUGAGUUCGAUAGGGGAGUGGGGAAUUCCUAGUGUAGCGGUGAAAUGCGCAGAUAUUAGGAGGAACACCGGUGGCGAAGGCGCCACUCUGGAUCGAUACUGACGCUGAGGAACGAAAGCAUGGGUAGCAAACAGGAUUAGAUACCCUGGUAGUCCAUGCCGUAAACGGUGGGCACUAGGUGUGGGUUUCUAUUAACGAAAUCCGCGCCGUCGCUAACGCAUUAAGUGCCCCGCCUGGGGAGUACGGUCGCAAGACUAAAACUCAAAGAUAGUGACGNGAGAGAGCGACGACGACGACGACGGAGGAGGAG
rnacentral:rRNA from 1 species